rnacentral:rRNA from 1 species
UUGAACCUGAGAGUUUGAUCCUGGCUCAGAACGAACGCUGGCGGCAUGCCUAACACAUGCAAGUCGAACGAGGGCUUCGGCCCUAGUGGCGCACGGGUGAGUAACACGUGGGAACCUGCCUUAUGGUUCGGGAUAACGUCUGGAAACGGACGCUAACACCGGAUGUGCCCUUCGGGGG